rnacentral:lncRNA from 1 species
CGGCCCCGCCCUGGGAGCCCCGCAGUGCGUCGCGCCGCUGCCCGCAUCUCCGAGGCCCGCGACGAGCGGGGCCUCACGGGAGCUGGAUGCUCGGAGCAGCAAGGCGGCCCUGGGGGCCCCUUCCGGUCCCGGGGCUGACGCCUGGCGGCGUCUCCGGGAACCCGCGCCCUUUCAAGCGCCGCUGGCUCCUGUUUCACAGAUGGAGACCCUGAAGCCCCAACAAGCAGCCUCCCCAGCACCUCCCAGUGACUGAAAAAGCUGGCACUGGGCGCCCGUCUCACUCUCCACCCAGCUCCCAGGCUGCCCCACGGGACGUAAGUAGCUCGAUCUAGGCCGCUGACCCCCAGAGACUUGAUGCUGCGCUGCAGACUGCCGCCGCUGCCGGGGCGCUUGACUUCCCCUCUCCUGACAGCACGUUCGUUCCUUUGCAGCAGCACCUUUGGGGAGAGACGAGACCUGAACAAACGCUGGGGCUGGAUCCCCAGGGUGGGUCAGAACAGCCGUUGCCCUGAAAGCUGGCCCGGACAGAUGCGUGCGGGGCGUGCCACCGGAGCUCCUUCCAGCUUGCGUCUGGGGCCACCAUGUCCCUUCCUCAGGGCACUGGAUCCAUCUCUUCAAGCUCAGUGGUCCAGGCCAUGGUGGCAGAAUCACCCCCCAGGGUGUGACGCCUCGUCCCUGUCAAUUCCACACAGCUGCACCCGGAAGAGCUGUGGCCGGGCGCCGCUCUGACCUGUGUGCGGUCCCCUGAAUGGGUCUCAGGUGUCUUCAGAAUGGUGAGGCCGCCUCAUUUCCUCACCACACAACCCUCCUGAGGACGUUGCCUGCAAAUGGGCGGAAUUCCUAAUUUCUACCAUUCAGUUAAACGAGGGAUCCUUAAGCCCCAAAGCUGGGAAAGCUGUCCGUUAAUUUAGUGCGCGUGGGCCGUCUCAGAACAGCAGGGUUCCCAGGAGUCCAGCGGGACGGGGGAGGGGAUGAGUGGCCGUGUCCCCCUGGCAGAGAAGGCCUUGUCUGAAGGCUACGCCCGCCUCCGGUACAGGGACACCUCCUUGCUCAUCUGGCAGCAGCAACAGCAGAAGUUGGAGUCGGUGCCACCUGGGACGUACCUGAGCAGGAGCCGAAGCAUGUGGUACUCACAGUAUGGAAAUGAGGCCAUCUUGGUCCGAGACAAAAACAAGCUCGAGGUCUCUAGGGACACAGGGCAGUCCAAGUUUUGCACAAUUAUGUAAUUCCGAUGUGAGCACCUGAACCCAGGACCACACUUUGAGGAAAACAGACCUGAGUUUCAUUCAGUUGUCUUGUUGAUUUCCAAUCCUUGCUGGAAGAUUUUGAAUAAUGAACGUGAAGAUCAAACUGUGGUGUAAGAACCCAAGAAGCGCAGAAUUGGCCCCCGAACCCCUCAGCACAGCCGCGGUGUGACUGGUGCACAGGACACUUCCCCUCUAGAGUCCCCUCCGUGGUCAGCUGUUGUGACAUUUGAAUUCUCCAGCUGUGCAAGUUCAUUCGCAAACGUCCUAGAAGUGGAACUGCUGGGUCAAAGUGCAUUCCCCAAAUGUCCUGCCAGAGGCCUGGUCGGCAGCAGCCUCCUGCACAGCCCGAGUCCCUUCUGCGAGAGUCCUGGCUUGUUUGCAGCCUGCAGCUGGGAGAUUUGAAGUCAGACUUCCAGGAUUGCCGCAUGGAGCUGCAGAGGGAGUGAGCAUGGGGCUGGAGGACCUGCCCCGCCGGCUGACACUCCCACAGCAAGGCGGGCCCGCCAAGGAAGCACUCCACAUCCGCUAGGUAGGGUUUGUCUGCAUCUUUUCAGUUCUUCAGUUUAAGUCCUGCCUGGGAAGAAAGCAAACUCCAGAGGCAAAUCUGGAAUGCCUGUGUGCCACCUUCUCACCGCACCACAGACUCCCCUGAGGACGGGUUGUGGCGGGGUUGGCCCCAAGCAUGGGAGGCAGCGCAGACAUGCAGAAUGGGGUCUGAGGUCACGUUGCAACGCUGGCAGGAUGUGUGCUCAAGGGCCAGUCUCUGCAGGGGUCAGGGCGUGUGGGCCACGCACAAGGAGCUGGCACUAAGCCGCUUAGGCUGCAGGAAGACACCAUCUGCCUGGGGCGGACAAGGCCCCAUGUCCGUCCUCAAGGAGGCUGGUCUGGAUGAGAAGGGUCACAGUCUGGCCAGGAGUGUCACCGUGCCCCCUGACCCCAUCUGGGGUCGGGCUGGACAGGUCCUCAGGCCUAGACGUGGGCCCAGCCAGAACCUUCUCCCCUGGCAUGUCUCUUCCAGGCCUAGUUCCAGAGCUGUCAUUCUUCGGCGAGCCGCGCUGCACGCCAGCCUCCAGUCUGGCAGUUAAACCUCACUAUGAAAAUCUGCUUUUGGGAUUUUAUUUGCAUUUCCAUUAGACUGAGCGCAUCACAAGCCACUUCAGGAUAGACUGAGGUGCAGAGGGAGGGGACAAGCGGCCAGGUUGACUAGAAGAGCACAGAACCUGGCUGUCUCGAAGAGGGCAGCUUGUUCCAGGGAACCAAUGAACUGUCAGUAAAGGGGAUUGUGGCUUCCUAGUGAGGCAAGAAAUGAUGCUCCCUUCAUCCUGCCAGGGCUCAGGACAAGAGCUACUUAAUGGUUUGAUUAUUAUUAUUUUUUAAGAGAUGUUGUCCAGGCUGGAGUGCAGUGAUGCAAUCAUGGCUUACUGCAGCCUCAAACUCCUGGCCUCAGGCCAUCCUCCUGCCUCAGCCUCCCAAAGUGCUGUGAUCACAGGCACGAGCCACUGCAUCCUGCCUUUAAAUGGUUUUUUGGGGCCCCUUUUGGAUGCUCUGGGUGUUUUUGCCAAGAGUUACAGGAUGUCAAGUGUGGGGAGCUCAGCACCCUUGCUGUGGACCAGUGAAGGCUGUUCCAGACCAGGUGCUUCCAGACAUUUCCAGGCUCCAGGAGAGAGGCUGGGAGCCCCCACAGAAAGCACAGGAAAAUGCAAAAAAAAAAAACAGUCUUUUUUUUUUUUUUUUUUUUUGCUUUUUAUUAUGAAAACAAAACAAAUGCCCCAGGAGAAGGGUCCAUGAUUACCAGAAACAUCAAAGAGUACUUUCUACCAUUUUUAUUCUGUUGUGUUGAGGCCAGCAUUGCAAUAAACAAGCUAAACUACUUACAUUGGACUCAUUUUCAGUAACUGACAUUUACAGGAAUAUACUAGAAACGGCACUAAAAAGUUUAAGAAAAGUUACGGUAAACUUGCAUGCACAUCAUACAGAAAAGUAACAUUUUAAAUAUAAAAAAGAAAAACUUCCUGGAAGCAUUAUGCCAGUAUUAAGGAACAGUGCUACUCUGGAUGUGACAAAUUCUGUAUGUGGGUGUUACUCUUUCCCAAAAGACUGUCAGAGGCGUGAGUGCUGCAAAAGAACAACAACAAAAACAAACACACAAAAAAAUGUGUCUUACAGUUUGUAAGCAAGAUGACACUGCCCAACACAAAGAGGGGUCUGGAGUUCAGUUCACGCCCGAAGCCUGCCCCCUCGGCCUCCAGGGGUCAUUCAGAGUGUUCUCAAAUCCAAUUCCGACACACGACUUGUCACUACUCCUCUCCCCUUGAAAAAAGCAUGUUAGAAGCUGCCCUACAGGUCUCAGCAGUGGGACAAUCUAAUUGAAUCACCGCAGCCUUCUAAUACAGAAGAAACGGACGUGACUGUCACCCUCAGCCCGCCAGCAAGGGCGCUGAGGAAGUCAUUAAUCCUUCGAAACUCUGAAAAGAAACCAGUGUUGAAGUCUGGACAGAAAGCCUUAAAAAAGUGACAGCACCAAUGCAGCUGCUCAGUGUACCCGCCGUGGGCUGUCAGGGUCAGUGGCUUCUUUCUAGAUGAAAGGAGCAGAGGCGAGCCGACGCCACCGUCACAGAGAACCAGCCGAGAAGGAAAGGCCCCACGAUGCUCCUGCUGCGCUGCCCCCACAGCCGGCCGCUCCCCCGACGGCUCACACAGGCAGCACCUCACUGCCCUGUGGCUGGAGGGGCAUUGCAAGGAGCGCCCCCCAGCCCCAGGCACCCCCGGCUUAGGGUGUACGUAUCACCCAGCCCUGUGCUGGCAGCACGUUACCAACCAGCCUGCGUGAAGACCUGUCAACUGUCGUGUGUGAAUUCCUUAAAUUCGGUUUAAAUAGUCCAUUAAAGAUCUGUUUAGAAAAUACCUUUGAAAACGAGGGUAACUUUAAAAAAUGGAAACUUUCAAAUCCAUUUAUAUUUUUAUUAUAAACAAAACUUAAUUAAAAGUUUAACAAACUGGCUGAAAACUCACCAAGUGUCAGACUCACCAGCAAUUUAAAAAAUGAUAAUUUACCAGCAUCUCCUCAUCAGAGUUCCCUCUCCAGUAAGGGUAUACCUACAUCUGUAAGGGUCAGUGGACUCUGAAUCAAUUUUAUGGUUGUUUUAAAAUCACCGUGUAUUAGGAUACUAAUGAUAGUCCCUAUAUCCAUCCAGAAAUGCUGGCAGAAAGCACUGGCCACCAUACAGGACAGACCACACCACAGCUCCAUACCCAGCGUCUGCCUGGAGGCUCCCCCACGCUGAGGUCCGGGAGAAUGCCUGGUUUCAGUCAUUUCCGGACUAACUGUGACAACGCGUGAGCAGGGAGCACCGUGCGAGUCUCCGGGAGGGAAUCCUCCUGGGGCCCAGAGACUCCUCCACCCCUGGGGAGGGCAGACAGGCUCGGGAGGGCCUGGCCAGGCCACUGGAGGCUGGCAGGGAGCAGGCAUGUCCACCCGCAAGCCUGGGAGGCUAACUCUGGCAUUCCUGGCCGGAGCCGCCAUGCUCAUUGGUGGGCCAGUUUGGGACAUCCCCGUACUCAAAGACCAUAUGGCAGCCUCUGGGAAAACAAAACCAAAACAUCACCUUCUAUUAAACUCUGUAUAUUAUUAUUUUUUACAAUAGAAAGUUAAAAAUCAAGACUUAGAUUUACUAUACAUUUUUUCUCUCAGAUUACAAAGUUUAUAUUAUAUAACUGGGGUUCCCUAAAUUGAUUUCUUUUAAAACAGUCUUAAAGAGACCAGAAGUGAAUACAAAAGAACUAAACAAAAUAAAAAAUUAGAAUGUGCUGUAGCUGAAAGCUGUCUAUACCUGUAAGCCUCCAAGUUUCAUACAAAAAAAAAAAAAAAAAAAAACCACAAAGAAAAAAACCAAAAAACCCAACAAACCCAGGGGCGAGCGCGCGAACAGACGUGGGUGAGCACCGCGCGGUGGCAGGAGUUAGCACCUGGAGACGACAGGCCGCCGCCAGACAGGACCCGCGCCCGGCACACCACUGGCAAGGCCUGCAUCUCUGCGACUGUGUGAAUGCAUUUCUUCUGCGGUUUUUUCUUAUUUUCUUUUUUUUAAAAAUGACCAAUGAUGUUAAUAAAUAACUAUUUAUAUACACAUAAGCUCGGGAAGUGGUUCCCAAGGGUGGCGCGGCAGCAGCAGCAGGGGCAGCGCUAGCCAGGCGGGGACUCACAGCGGGCUGGACUUCCGUAGAAAAUUGCCGAACCUUACAAAAAAAGUCUCCUUUUUUUUUUUUUU